UGGGCCUUUGCUUAUUGUGAUACCAUGGGUUUGUCUACGGAUUUACUUAGAUGAUGAGAUGUUUUGGAUGGCGAUCGAUAUUAACAACUACGAGUCUUGGGAGGCUUGGUUGUUCUUAGGGCCUGUGCUUGUUAUUAAUUCGGUAAACAUUGUUUACUUAAUCCUGAUAGGAAGAUUUGUAAUAAAGAACCACAUGAUGAAGAAAAUUACCAACAGCUCAACAGAGUUGUAAAAGGCAUAUAGCAGUGGUCCAAAAGAACACACCAUUACUACAAUGU